UUUCGGUGUAUUGAAUUAGAUAUGAAGUUUAGUAGACGAUCGGAGGCAAACUAAAUUAAUCAAAAAUGAAACACUUGAGGAUCCAGACUUUGAUGACCAGUUUUCCCGAUCGGUGUUUAUGCUGCGUCAGCUUCAGCAAAUCAUUCACCGGGAAGAUAACCUGGUGGUGAUUAAAUUCAACGAGCCGGGAGUAGUGAUCUUCAAGGCAGACCAUUUUGUUUCAAGUGCUCCUGAAAAGGAUAGCCAGUCGCUGCACAUGAAGGUCAGCCAAGCAUCAAUGCUGGCGAUGGAAACCCUUAUCAAUAGUCUUCGGAUAAUCUCCACAACCUGGACCAAUUAUUUUAUCGGCGCGACCACCGCAGUUCUAA